rnacentral:rRNA from 1 species
GACGUAGGGCGCGAGCGUUGUCCGGAUUUAUUGGGCGUAAAGAGCUCGUAGGCGGCUUGUUGCGUCGACUGUGAAAACCCGAGGCUCAACCUCGGGCCUGCAGUGGGUACGGGCAGACUAGAGUGCGGUAGGGGAGAUUGGAAUUCCUGGUGUAGCGGUGGAAUGCGCAGAUAUCAGGAGGAACACCAAUGGCGAAGGCAGAUCUCUGGGCCGUAACUGACGCUGAGGAGCGAAAGCAUGGGGAGCGAACAGG